GACGUAGGGCGCGAGCGUUGUCCGGAUUUAUUGGGCGUAAAGAGCUCGUAGGCGGCUUGUCGCGUCGACUGUGAAAUCCCGCGGCUCAACUGCGGGUCUGCAGUCGAUACGGGCAGGCUAGAGUUCGGUAGGGGAGACUGGAAUUCCUGGUGUAGCGGUGAAAUGCGCAGAUAUCAGGAGGAACACCGAUGGCGAAGGCAGGUCUCUGGGCCGAUACUGACGCUGAGGAGCGAAAGCGUGGGGAGCGAUCCGG
rnacentral:rRNA from 1 species